CCAUAAUGGGGAAGGUUGCCUGCUCCUGCCCUAGCAAGGAUUCCUGUAGUAGGAAGAUGCUGAGUGUCUCCUCAGUAAAUAAUGGCAGCAACACCACAGUAGGGCACCAGUAUAUAUCUACAAGGAGUGCUAAUAAUGGUUUCAGGAGAUCUCUCCAGAAUAGUAUGACAGAGGUUUCAGGAGAUCAUGACAGUAGGACCAGGAGAUCUAUCCAAGAGAUCAUGACACUGGGUUCAGUAGAUAUCUCUUAAAGAUCAUGACAGUUGAUCCACGAGAUCUGUCCAGACACUGGGUACAUGAGACCUCUCCAGAAGAUCAUAACAGUGCUUCCAGGAGAUCUGUCCAGAAU